rnacentral:rRNA from 1 species
CCUACGGGAGGCAGCAGUGAGGAAUCUUGGUCAAUGGACGAGAGUCUGAACCAGCCAAGUAGCGUGAAGGAUGACUGUCCUCUGGUUUGUAAACUUCUUUUAUAUGGGAAUAAAAUGUUCCAAGUGACGGUUUUUGUCUGUACCGUAUGAAUAAGGAUCGGCUAACUCCGUGCCAGCAGCCGCGGUAAUACGGUGGAUACGAGCGUUAUCCGGAUUUAUUGGGUUUGAAGGGAGCGUAGGUGGGUUGUUAAGUCAGUUGUGAAUGUUUGGGGCUCAACCGUAAAAUUGCAGUUGAUACUGGCAGUCUUGAGUGCAGUAGAGGUGAGCGGAAUUCGUGGUGUAGCGGUGAAAUGCUUAGAUAUCACGAAGAACUCCGGUUGCGAAGGCAGUUCACUGGACUGCAACUGACACUGAGGCUCGAAAGUGUGGGUAUCAAACAGGAUUAGAUACCCCUGUAGUC